AACGCACGAGACCUGCGGACCUGCGGAAGGAUCAUUACUGAGUUUACGCUCAAACCCUUGUGAAUUUACCGUGUUGCUUCGGCAGGUCUUCCCUGGGAGGGAAUUCGACCGCAAGGUGACCUGCCAGAGGCUCUAAACUCUGGUUUAGUGGUUUUCUGAGAAUCUUUAAAAGUAAAAACUUUCAACAAUGGAUCUCU
rnacentral:misc_RNA from 1 species